UAAGCUGAAGUGAAAUGAAGUUAAAGGGUUUCUCCCCAGUUCUGGAGUGAGAAAUCAGUACUGAAGUAAAACAACCAUCUUGAGAGCAAGAAACUAAAUGCUACCACGACCUAAGUGUCUUUGUUCUGUAACACAUUUUCACCAUGGUAUUUCUGUCUUGGAGCCAGCUUACCAUGGACUGAAUUCCUGAAAGCUGAAUCAAAACUGGCAACCAGGUGUGGGUACCAUUGGAGCCAGAUAUUUUCAGGCAUCAGUGUGAUCAUGCGGACAACUGCAGACUGUGUCAGAGAACCACUCCUACCACAAAUCUCAAGAAACUGACAUAAGGCCAUGGCUCAGAGCAGAGAGUGUCUGCAAGAGGGGCUUGUCACUUGUGUCCAUACCAAUUGA